UGCGGUGUAGAGCAGCUUGGUAGCUCGCGAGGCUCAUAAUCUCGAGGUCAAAGGUUCGAAUCCUUUCGCCGCUA
rnacentral:tRNA from 2 species